AGCUCCUCCGCCGCAAAAUGAUAAUGGAGGAUUCCUCACAAACGUCUUAAUCGGCUUAGCCAUUGUCCACGUCUUUGGCAUUGGUUUUGGAGUGGUAGGUUCUUCUUCUUUUCUUUAUUUUCUUUCGUAUUUCUCUGCCUAAUACUGUAUAUCAAGUUUAAUGUGUAUCAUUUUAUAAUUAAUUUAAAAUUGUCUAACUAUUAAUUUCCAAUUUGUAAUAGUCAAUUUCAUUAUGUUUAGCUUCUUGAUUAUUGUAUCUAUUCUCUGGACUAGGAUGAUAAUUACAGUUUUAAUAACAAUACCUAGAAAAUUUAAUUUAAUUUCUUGAUGUAUAUAUGUGCCUAAUUCAUUGAGUUUGUAUUACUUAGACAAGUUACACUUCAAUUUUCAUAUUAAUUUAGGUAUUGAGUUCUGAAUUUUAGAAAAAGAAUUAAUUUCAACGAUAAUAUGUAGCAAUUUUCUGAAUUGGUUGAUGUAUAUCUUAUUUCUGAGUCAGAAAAAAAAUUAAACUAGAAUUUUCUUUAAGAAGUGUUUCUUUGUAUUAGAAAGCUUGAUGUAUGAUUCCGGCGAAUAAUACUAAUUAAGCGUGAUUAUUGUUUUUUCAGGGGUGGUUCUCACACGUCACAUAUCAGAAGCUGAAUUAAGUUUACAACUUGUGGCAAAUUUUUUAGUUUAAUUUCAGACCAAUAGAGUUGAAUAUGAUUUGUUUGUUGGCAUUACCACAUCUAUGUAGUGUAGAUAUAAACGAUAUAUGAUAGACAUAGAUACAGUUCCUUUGAUUUUCACACAAUAUAUGAUACUACAUUUGUUUUUAAAUAAGUGACAUUUGUUCUUACAUAAGUGGAUGUUAUUUUCAUUCUCAAA
rnacentral:lncRNA from 1 species